CUCUACCUCUCUCUCCCCUCAUGUCCUCUCUCUCUAUCUCUACCUCUCUCUCCCCUCAUGUCCUCUCUCUCUAUCUCUACCUCUCUCUCCCCUCAUGUCCUCUCUCUCUAUCUCUACCUCUCUCUCCCCUCAUGUCCUCUAUCUCUACCUCUCUCUCCCCUCAUGUCCUCUCUAUCUCUACCUCUCUCUCCCCUUAUGUCCUCUCUCUAUCUCUACCUCUCUCUCCCCUCAUGUCCUCUCUCUCUAUCUCUACCUCUCUCUCCCCUCAUGUCCCCUCUCUCUAUCACUACCUCUCUCUCCCCUCAUGUCCUCUCUCUCUAUCACUACCUCUCUCUCCCCUCAUGUCCUCUCUCUCUAUAUCUACCUCUCUCUCCCCUCAUGUCCCCCUCUCUGACUCUGACCAGCCAUUCCUCCGCAAGCUGGAGAAGCACGCACAGAGGAUAUCCAAUUACUGUCCCAGCACAGGCCCCCCAGGUACUCAGACAGCCCAGCGCAAGCCUAACAAGCCCCGGCCACAGAAACCCCCCUAAUCACCUGCUUCUGUACGUGGAGCUCAUCCCUCUCCGACUGCCUGUUAGACUCAGGUGUCACGGCUGCUCUCUCCUGGAUGUUGUGGCGUCCUUUUUGCUCGGCCACAGCCCCCCUCGCUGUCUUUCUUUCUUUCUCUCUUACUAACUCUUCUCUCCUGUUCUGCCUCAUUACUCCUCCUCAGUUCAGAGGGUGAUGGCGGCAUUCAGACCAGGAAGUGGGGUAGCCUGUGAUGUGUCCUCACGUGCUCAGCCAGGAAGUAGGGUAGCCUGUGAUGUGUCCUCAUGUGCUCAGCCAGGAAGUAGGGUAGCCUAUGAUUGGUCUCGCUAUGAUGGGAGAGAGACCGGUCUGUGGUUCUCCCUGUUGGAACACAUUGAGAGAGAGACCCUCAUCUUAGAACCCUGGAAAAGAGAGAUUAAUUGAAAUGGCUCUCUACUGUGUAAUUGCAUAAUAUUAAUAUUUCUCAGACCGAUUUACUACAACCUUGAAGAUCAAAGCCAUUCAGACAUUUUGCAGUUCACUACGGUGUGUCGCCUGAACAAUUGCAGUAGAGCUGUUCUAUCUAAUUUAAGACAUAAAAUGACUUGCUGCUAUUUUCAUUUUAUUUUUAAAGAGGGAGCGAGAGAGACCAGCUUUUUUGUUCCACAGCUGUUCAACUUUAACAUAAAUUUUCCUUUUGACAUUUCAGACCACCCGUCCCUUUGUAAAACUGCCAUAACAUAUGCCAAGCUGUGCAGAGCAAAAUUCAAGCCCUCUUCCCCACAAAGUGAUACUAUUUCUUUGGAUGUGUGUGAAAGAGGGUAGCCCUCUGGAGUUCCCAGGAGCCUGUGUUCCAACGUCCCUGAGGAAGACGGGUUCUGGGUUUACUGCCAACAGGGGAUUGUUGUUUCCUUUGUGAAGGAAUAGUUACUCUCAGAUGCUGAGCUGUCUGUCUGUGUGUGUGUCUGUCUGUGUGUGUGUGUGUCUGUGUGUGUGUGUCGGUCUGUGUGUGUCUGUGUGUCAGCGCUGUCGCAUUAAUCCAGUGUAAACACCCAUCAGCGGUUUGUUCUCAUUUUGGAGAGCAAACCGUUUGUUGCCCGAAAUCUCUCCCCCCAAAUUUUUGGGAGAAGAUUUUUAUCUGGCGGAAUUGUUUGUGGGAAGAGGCCCCGGGGAAGACCCAGGACACGCUGGAGGGACUAUGUCUUUUGGCUGGCCAUCCGACUGUCUUCAGGGAGGGAAAGCAGGCUGAUUGGGUCGUUACCUGAAGUCGGGGUGAAGUGGCUGGGGGAGGGGUAUCUUAAUGUGAUUGGUCUUGGUUGGAGUUUGAAAUGUCUUCUCCCUCCCUCUCUUUCUCCCCCCUUCUCCCUCAUGCAUAUCCUGCUGUGUUACCAUGCAUACUACUGCACUGUGUGCUUCAUGGCACUUGUGUUUAAGCUGUUUGUAAAUAAAGAAUUGAUGCCUAGAAGAUGGCGUGUGGA